rnacentral:sRNA from 1 species
UAUCUUCCUUUUUGAAGAAAUGUCCGAAAAGUGUUAAGAAAAUCAAUCAAUCUGAAAACGAAGCCCUUCUUGCUUACUUAUGGUUAAAUCUCUAGCAAUUUGCGACCCCAGAUGUGUCAGUACAUUUUUUUCCAGUUAGUUUUCCCCUAUAGAUCUUACACAUAAAGCAGAACACACAUUUCUACAACUUGACCAUCAUGAAUGGUAUUGUGUUGUUGCAGAAUUGCAAGUAUUCUACCCAGUGACACGAAAAUACCUUAAGUCUAGCCAAUGUGGCGACAAGAGUUCCAUCCUGUCAAACACCAGAACGACAGGUCUUAUGGAAGUGUUCAAGUGUUGGCACACAGGCUGGGUUAUAAAAAUUCAAUAAUUGAUAAUGCUGGCCUCUUUCAGUCGUUGAACGACCAUUAUUCAUCUCGUAGAAUAUUUGCAUGUGAUUGUACAGCCCAAUUCUGGGGAGACUUUCCCGUCCAAAAAGAACGCAGGUCUAAAGAAGAGUUCGACUACUAUGACGAGGAUGAAGUCUAUAUAAAUUCCACAGAAAAUGGACCUUCCAAGAGAUGAUACAAGCCAAAGAUUGUCAACUGAAGCUUCAUAUAGGAACUUCCAACAUUAUCAAUGCAUUUAUAAAAACAAAAUGUGGGAAAGAAAAAAAAAAAGGGGGGGGAAGGUUUGUGUGAUGAGCAAAAUCAAAUUGAACGUUAUAUCUUGUGAAGCUGAAAGAAUGUUGCAACCCGUACUUUCUGUUUAGUGUGCUUCUAAAACUAGUUUGCAACUGAUAGUAGGCUAGCACAUAAUAAAGGACAAAGCCUUUAGCAGUAGGGCCUACACCUUUGCAAGAAGGCUUUGAUCAUUUUGAAAAAAAAAAGAAUAGACAAUGAAUUAAAUGAAUUAUAUUGACUUAGUGAUGGUAGGUUCUUGUUUACAUUGUUAAUUAAAUGACCUCAGUGUGCAAGAGUCGUGUGUAAUUAUUGCACUGUUUGUGCUAGAAUCUUUCAACUUUUAUGAUCAAGACAUAUUGUUAGUUGAUGCUCUAAGUGCUAAUGCAGACUUAGUAUUCUCAUAAAGUAAGGAUUUAUAAAUGACA